AGAGAACUUUCCAGAGAUGGAUUGGUGCCUUCGGGAACUCUGAGACAGGUGCUGCAUGGCUGUCGUCAGCUCGUGUUGUGAAAUGUUGGUUAAGUCCCGCAACGAGCGCAACCCUUAUCCUUUGUUGCCAGCGGUUAGGCCGGGAACUCAAAGGAGACUGCCAGUGAUAAACUGGAGGAAGGUGGGGAUGACGUCAAGUCAUCAUGGCCCUUACGAGUAGGGCUACACACGUGCUACAAUGGCGCAUACAAAGAGAAGCGACCUCGCGAGAGCAAGCGGACCUCAUAAAGUGCGUCGUAGUCCGGAUUGGAGUCUGCAACUCGACUCCAUGAAGUCGGAAUCGCUAGUAAUCGUGGAUCAGAAUGCCACGGUGAAUACGUUCCCGGGCCUUGUACACACCGCCCGUCACACCAUGGGAGUGGGUUGCAAAAGAGGUAGGUAGCUUAACCUUCGGGAGGGCGCUUACCACUUUGUGAUUCAUGACUGGGGUGAAGUCGUAACAAGGUAAGCGUAGUGCU
rnacentral:rRNA from 1 species